UAUGAAAUGGCAGAACUAAUGCCUAAACUUUAAGCGUUUAUCAUGACUACUAAGUCUUUCAU
rnacentral:tRNA from 1 species